CUGAGGAAGAAUGGACGCAGCAAAGGCAGUUUGCGGAAAAGAAGCAUUGGAUCUUCUCAAUUGCGUUGUGGAUUCUAAUUACGAUCAGGAGAAAUGCCUCCAUCUUUUGCAAUCUCUUCGUCAAUGUGUUCUCUCCAAGGUGGGAGCCACUUAAUGGCGUUGGAGUAAUGCAGUGAUGAUGAAAGGAAAGUGAAGAAAUUCUCCCUUCCUGAUGAAAAGCCAUCAGAAGAUGGAAGCAAGAAGCAAAACUGACUUGGAAAUCUAAGCUUGGCAAGAUUGUGUUGUAACGACGCAAUGGUAGAAGUAUAUCGCAUUGGUAGAAUAUUCUCAACAAUUUAGUAGAUAGACUUGGUACCCAAGCUAGGCUUCUAAAUUUGAUAUCCUUUUUCGGUUUUCCAAUUGGUCGGGUAGUCUGGUCUCUCUAGUCGACAGCAGGUCCUCUUUUACAAAUGUUAGCAGGUUAAAAUAUAGCACUUCAUGUCAUUUGAACUGCAAUUUCCAGUUUUGAUGUGUGCAACUUACAAUGCCAUGUUUCACGAUUCUUGAUUAUGAGGUAUAAAUUUUUAUUUAUUUUUCUUUCUCCUUUUACAAUGUUGAAUCUCAGUCCAAGAAAUUAGCACUACAAGAUUUGCCAAGACCCUUUAUAAGAUUCAAUCCUUAAAUUUCUUUAUUAUUGUUCGGCUCCGAUUUCUCCAAAAGUAUCGCGUAGGGGAGUGCCAUGAUGGCAAACAUCUUGAAAUGAUUUUAGAAAUGGCUUUAUUGCUAAUUUUUGUCCACUCAGCAUCCUCAGCUACCAUUUCCCCCACAAUAUCAACUGGAAAACCAUCCAAUACACGAACCCCCCUAACCAAAACCCCUAUUGGUGAGUAACGCCAUCAAUAUUGUUUGUAAAAAUUAGCUUUAUUUAUCCACCCAUCAAAAUUAUCUACGUUCUUCUUUGGUCGAUUAAUCGCUUUCUUCCCUUAAUUUUAGAGGCAAACCUAACAUAUCUUAAACGUCGUUAGCAGUAAUCAAGUAUCCUGGUUUUGUUUGAGAUACAUUAGACUUUGUUGACAACAUCAAAAUGAGCUACCAAAAACCGAAUACACGUGAUGGAAACUUUCCAAAAUUCAUCUUUAAAACCCCUGGAAAAAACACGUGCGCUUUACAAUCUAUGUGAAUAAGUUUAUCAACGCUGCAAAAAGAUAAACAAAAUAUAAUAAAUAUAACAACUACAAUGUAUAUGGUAAAUACCUAUGAUAAACACAUCAAAAUGAACCAUCCUAACUAUCUACAAUAUAUAUGAUAAAUAC